rnacentral:misc_RNA from 1 species
ACACCUCAACUCUCAUGGCUUGCCAUGAUGAGCUUGGACUAUGGGGGUCUUGUUGGCCUGUGAGCCAGCUCCUCUUAAAUGAAUUAGCUUCCCGGUGUUUGGUGGCAUCACAGGUGUGAUAACUAUCUACGCUUGUGCUUUCCCACCAGAUAACCUUCAGCAAUGGAGGUUCACUGGAGCUUAUAAAUGUCUCUCCUCGGCGAGGACACAUUUUGAAC